CCCUAAGAGGGUUAUAUGCAGUCAUUCCAAAUAUUGCCACUCUGAAAUAUCCACAUUUAAUGCAGCAACUGUUCAGCUGAAUUUAUUUCCUAAAUGAGAAAUUCUCUUUCAUUGGUCUUGAGAGUGUUCAAAAAAUUAACUCAAAUUAACUAUAUGGAAGCAUGAUCUUGAAUCAGACUGUGAAUUGUUGCAUGGCAUGAGCUAAAUUGGUACCUUAAAACAACCUCAACAGUAUAUUGCUAAAGAAGCAGCUUAUAUUGGGGUUGAAGAAAGAAAAAUAUGGACAGAGGAUAUUAAGACUCACCGGGAAGGAGAUACAGAAUGUGUUGUUACGGGCUAUAGUAUUUGAAGUUGGUAUAGUGGAUUAAAAGAGUGAAUGUGGAUUUUAAAACUAUGAGUUGCCCCUGCUGGAGCUAACACUGUUAGACGCAGAGCAGCAAACAGAGAUCCACACUGGCCAGUAUCCCAGCUCCUCAUAGGGUAUCAGGUGUGAGGAGGAGAAGACCAACAGGCAACGUAACCAGCGGAAUGAGUACUUCUCUCUGAUGCCUGAAUGGGGGAGCAGGAAGCAGCUAGCUGGAAAAUGUUAGAAGCAGCUGUGUGCAGGCAUUCGGACACAUGUUCCCCUCAACUCCAUGAAGAGUAUUGGAAGAGGGGAAGUGGACAAGAGCACCAAAGAAUCUCCCAUGUAAUUUGGUGUGACAUCUUCAACAGUGGCUUUUGUACACAGAAAAUAUUAUCCAGAAGCUGCUUUUUAAAAGACUGUUACUUAUUUCACUAAUAUUUCAAGUAAAUCUAGCCCCUUUUUAUCCUUUGAAGUCCAAAUUAC